ensembl:lncRNA
GCGGUGUCCUCUGGGAUUACGUAUUGUUUUGAAUAUCUUAUUACCCGCUCAAUUGUUACCCAAUUUGACUCAGGUUGAUCGGAUUGUUUUUUAUUAACAGCUUACACCAUUUUUAUUUUGAUCUUUGACUUUUCGGGUAAAAGCGUGGCAAUUUGACGAUAUACUUUUGUAUUUAUGGGUGUAUGUGUGUUGGAGGCGGUUGGUGAUGGUGGGAGGGCAGGGGGCGGCUCCCAGUGUUUUUUCUUCUCAGGUGACACGUUUUCCUUUAGUUAUGUAGGGGAAUGAAUGAUCAAGUGAAGAUCAAAGAGCGCAUUCUACCUCAAAUUUAAGAGGUGCUUAAUGUAGCCUGCCAUCGUAAGCAAGUACACAAUGUUUCUACAUGCUCAGCCAGCUGCUUCCACUGCAUGGAGGGUUCUAAUGAAGAGCUAUACCACAGCCAACACAAGCAGUCCUUUGUUGUAGAAAAGUGAUGGACCCUUAGCUCAUGAAAACACAAUCUUCCGGUCUGUGCUUUGUUUGACCAAAAUGUGUAGAGUGCACUUUGCAUGUGUUGACAAUAAAUAGAGGAAAGUUAGAGUACUCACUCAAGUGUGUGUGCAUGUUUGUUUGUUAAACAUGCAUACAGUGUUUACAGUGGACCAUCUGUUUCUUCCUGUCCUGCUGCUAUAAUUUCCUCCGUCCUCUAUCUCCCCUCUCUCACUCUCCCUCCCCCUCUUUCUUUCUCUCUCUAUUACUCUUUUCUAUCUCCCACCCCUUCUAUUUUAAUCUCUGUCUGGUUCAUGUUUGGCCCAAACAUCGACUGCUAACUGUACAUUGUUUGCCAUGGGCCUAAAGGGAUUUAACUCUCUAAGUACAUAAAACAAUAGUAAUAUACUUUAUUCUUGAUCAGUAGGAUUGUUUUCCUAUUUUGACUACUUUUUUAAAUUCUUGUCUGUGUUAUAUUGAAAUUACCCUGAUUUAUCCAAGUUAUACCAGCUAUAAAUGAAGCCAAUUUCUUUUUCCACUUUUGUGUUAAAUAUGCCAGCUGUCCUUUAAUUUGUUAUACAAUCAUUAAAACUCUGGACAGCAUGUCUACUUCAAUUGGACAAGGCUUUUUGAAUAUACACAUGAUGGAGGAGUUAGCAUAAACAGUAUUAUUAAUAAAAAAA